rnacentral:rRNA from 1 species
GCAGNUAACGCGUUAAGCACCCCGCCUGGGGAGUACGGCCGCAAGGUUAAAACUCAAAGGAAUUGACGGGGGCCCGCACAAGCAGCGGAGCAUGUGGUUUAAUUGGAAGCAACGCGAAGAACCUUACGUAGACUUGACAUCUCCUGAAUAGUGCAGAGAUGCAUGAAGCCCUUCGGGGCAGGAAGACAGGUGGUGCAUGGUUGUCGUCAGCUCGUGUCGUGAGAUGUUGGGUUAAGUCCCGCAACGAGCGCAACCCUUAUUGCUAGUUGCCAUCAUUAAGUUGGGCACUCUAGCGAGACUGCCGGAGACAAUCCGGAGGAAGGCGGGGAUGACGUCAAAUCAUCAUGCCCCUUAUGUUCUGGGCUACACGCGUGCUACAAUGGGUGUAACAACGAGAAGCAAGCUAGUGAUAGCAAGCAAACCUCUGAAAAACAUCCUCAGUUCGGAUUGUAGGCUGAAACCCGCCUACAUGAAGUUGGAGUUGCUAGUAAUCGCGAAUCAGCAUGUCGCGGUGAAUACGUUCCCGG